GUAGUUGUACAUUUGUGGCAUGCGAAUAUCGGCACAUUAUUUAAAUGUUAUGUUUUAAACAAACUAUGUGCGGUAGUUUACGCAUGCUUUAAGUAGUUAACUUGUGAGAUCGUAGCAGAGAUUUCAACAUAAGGUAACAGUAUGUUUAGUUAUACGUUGAGAGACAUUAAUGCGAGGAACAGGUUAAUAUACUAGGCGGUUAGUAUUAUACCCAGUUUAUACAUGUUGGGGUUUACGUUGGGUAGAAGCUGUCUAGGCGUUGGCAGACCAUAAGUGAUAUUAGUUUUUUCCGCUCUGUUCAGUAUAUACAUUACCAACACGAAGUUUAAUCAAUAACAGCAAAUAGAAUGCAGACCAAUUUCUUCUAACAGUGUAAUAUUCCAUCAUAGUGUCUUCUCCUCC